UUUAUGGUCAAACAUGAGUUUUGAAAAUAAAUCCCAAAUUUAUUUUGGCAGAACUCAUGGCCAAACGGGGCCUAAGUCUACAUCUGAAUGGCUGCGCCAGUUUGUGACUUUGUGUACAAGAAAUCUGCUAGUACUGUGAACCUGCGCAAUAUUGCAAGUCUAACUAUGAUUACAGAUUGGGCCAUUCUUUGCAAAUAUGACCAAUUUUACAAAUUUGUCCUUUUUUUUGGGCGAAUAUGGCCAAAAUUUGAAGAAGUGUCUACUUUUGUAGUUUCUUUUCAUUUCUUUCUUUCCAAUUUGUGGUAAACUUAAAUCUCAACUAGAUUAACUUGAUAUUAGUUCAUAACUUCAUAUUGAGUUUAUUUCUAGUUUCUUUGUGUGCUUUAUUUUAUUUCGUGCCAUUUCUUUCCUGCUUUUCUCUUGUUUUUCGUUGUGAAUUGUUUGGCUCAAGUCCGUUAGUUUUUAAUUGUGCUUUCUUUGGUGUCGCAUACAUUCCAUUCCGAACCGAUACUUGAUUACCUACUUGGAUUGAUUGGAGAACGUUGGUUAUGAAGAGAACUUUUAGACACCCUUGUGUGGAAAAAGGCUUGAGUGGUGAGUUCAAUUGAGCGAGGUCGCUUUUGACCUUUGAGUGAAAACACGAGUGUUGAGUGACAUAUGUAUCUAGUGAUACACUAAGGGAGUGAAUUGUGAAGUCCUAUUUUUGACUAACUAACUUUCUUGUUUUAAGUUUUCUUUUGUAUGUACAAGGAGUCAUAAGGGAGACAUGGAUGGUUAUGUGGGUUCUUCUUAUGAAACUAAUUGUGCUUCUUCAAGUGUUGAAAUCUUUUAUGAUGAAAGUGGGAGAAAGAUAAAUUUGAGGCAUUAUGUAGGGAAUGUAGAAGGCUAUGAGGGUUGUUUGGUUGCUAUAAGUACUCACUAUGCGACCAACUUUAUUGCUUCUUCCUUUGUUGAAUGGUUGGGAUUGAGUUGUAUAAAUUUCGGGGUGAGUGGGUGGAUAGAGGUGUGAUGGUUACUAUAACCAAAGGAGGCUUUAAAGAAGUGGUUUGGUGUGAUGUAUACCCUAUGAAGUAUUGCCAUAUACGAUUGGGAAAACCUUGGUUUCUUUAUCAUAAUCUUCCAAUUGAUGUAAAGUGGAAUAGGUAUGUGGUUGAUCUAAAUGGAAAGGGGAAUUCCUUCAUUCCUAAAUACUUUGAGGAUAAGUUGUUGGCAAGGCAAGAUAUCGGAAUGGGAGUUUGGAGUGCAAAUCAAUUCACAAGUCCUCCUAGUCCAAGUGUAGAUUAUGAUGCUUAUACUAUGCCAAUCCCAGUUGUGUCUGUUGAUGCUUGUUACAAUACACCUUACACUUAUCCACCACCCCACUACCAACACCAAAACCCCCAACCACAUUUCAACCGCCACAAGUACAUCAACUACAACCUUAUUAAACUUCACCACAACCUAGACCACCACCAAAUUUAGCUUCACAACAUAUGCCUCAAGCACCACCAAAGAGAGACAAUCUCCCUCCUCCACUACCCAUACCAUCUCAAGAGCCUCGAAUGAUUAGCAAUCCACUUUUUCAACAUGAUCAUGAGACCACAUUGAAUGAGUUGGACAAUAUCCAACAAGUUUCUAAUGGAGAAUAUAAGAGGGAUGAAGAUAUGUUGGUGAGAAAGGCUUUGUCUACUUCUAUGGACGAAGAAAAGGAAAUACACAACGGCAUAAUAUCUUUUACACUAGAUGUUUGAUUUUGGAUAUGAUGUGCACUUUGGUAGUUGAUGGAGCAAGUUGUGACAAUUUGGUGAGUGCUAUCUUAGUGAAAGAGUUGAAGUUGGAAAGUUUCAAUCAUCUUAGACCUUGUAAGUUGCAAUGGUUGAAUGCUUGUGGCGAACUUAAGUGAACAAAGUCGUGAAGAUUCCUUUCAUGAUUGGGGAUUACAAGGAUGAAGUAAUUUGUGGGGUUGUUCCAUUACAUGCUUGUCAUAUCAUCCUUGGGCGACCUUGGUUGUAUGAUAGAGAUGUUUUGCAUCAAGGAAGGAAGAAUCACUAUUCUCUUAAGUGGAAAGGCAAGUUGGUGACACUUGAACCAUUGGAACCAAGUCAAGUCUUGAAAGAGCAAAUGAGUUUGAGAACACCCUUGAAAAAUGCAAAGAGAAAAAGUAAGGAUGAGAGACAAAAGAAAGCGAGAAGUGAGGGAAAGAAAAAUGACAACUCUAGCGUGGAAAAAGGAGAGGAAGUAUGGAGUGAAGUGAGUGAGUUGUCACAAGAAAAGAGUGAAGAGCUUGACAAGAAAAUGAGAGAAAAGAAAGAGGAAAAACAAAAAGAGAGUGAGGAUUUUUCUUAUUCUAAUGCUACUAAUCUUUCUUCUUUGUCUAGUUGUUUUGUAACUUGUGUAGGGACUUUUGGAGAGGAGCCAUCAAGUGACAUUCAACCAACUUUGAAGAGCUUGAAAGAAGAUCACUCUAUCUUUCCAAGAGAACUUAUGGAAUUCAUUGGAGGUAAAGAGAAUACUUUAGAAGUGCUUCAAGGUCAACACACCUAGAGUAUGUACUCGGCUUGUUUGGGCUAUCUCAUAGCAUAUUGAUCUAGAAGGUUUGGAUCCACUUUUGGCUGAUGAUCCAGAAGAUCCCCUGAAUAUAAUUAUAUCAAAUAUACACAAAGUUCUCUUCAACAUAGAUUCGUCUGCCAGCACAACAAAUCGCCUUCAGGAUGUUCAAGUAGUUCUUCUAUGUGCUCAGAGGUUGGGUCACGUAAUGCCCGGGCAGGGCAAUUGCUAAUAAAAGAACUUGAAGAGUUUAGGAGCAAUGCGUUAGCUGAUUCAAUGAACAAACAUCAAUGUCGGUUAAUACUGCAGCGGAUCAAAUAUGUCUCCAACCACUCGGAAAGCAAGUUCUAAAUUGGACUGAGAUAGAACUUAAUCGGGUGGAUUUACGAGUUGGACUUUCUGGUGGAUUAUAUUUCAUGGAUGGAUCUCCUCAAGCAGUACGCUAGCUGCGCAACCUUAAUUCACAGAUCACAGCACCGGAGCAGCAACUUUUGGACAGCAGUAGGAGCGUUGGGAGUUGACUUCAGUCCAGAGAUUUUGAGGUAGCCUUGUUGAUGUCCGCAUGGCCCAGAGUCUCUUCUAUCCUUAUUUCGUUUGUUGUCAUUGUACCGGAACAAAUAGUAUUGUAUUUUAUUCAGACUCUGUUUUUAGUAUUCGAUAGACGUUCUUGAGUUAGUGACUCCAGUCUUGGGUAGAGGUUGUAAUUGAAUUUUCGCUCUUAUUUUCAGUUCAUUUAU